rnacentral:lncRNA from 1 species
CUAAACCUAAUUUACUUCCCUAUAUAUACUUUACAUCUAAACAUUAUUCUCCAUCACCAAACACAAUAGCAAACAAUCAGUUACAAAUAAUUAGCAUACCUUUCUUCUCUUCCAAUGGCUACUACCUUCGGUUUCCUCAAAGACGUCCGCCCAUACAAGGCAUCAUGGAGGGUUCAAGUCAAGGUUUUGCACACUUGGCGUCAAUACCUAGAAUCCACCGGUGAAACAUUAGAGAUUGU